rnacentral:rRNA from 1 species
UACGUAGGUGGCGAGCGUUGUCCGGAUUUACUGGGCGUAAAGAGCGCGCAGGCGGUCGUUCAAGUCGCGUGUGAAAGCCCCCGGCUCAACUGGGGAGGGUCACGCGAUACUGAUCGACUCGAAGGCAGGAGAGGGAAGUGGAAUUCCCGGUGUAGUGGUGAAAUGCGUAGAUAUCUGGAGGAACACCGGUGGCGAAGGCGGCAUCCUGGACCGGUAUUGACGCUGAGGCGCGAAAGCCAGGGGAGCAAACGGGG